UACGUCGGGCCCAAGCGUUGUUCGGAUUUACUGGGCGUAAAGGGCGCGUAGGCGGCGCGGUAAGUCACUUGUGAAAUCUCUGAGCUUAACUCAGAACGGCCAAGUGAUACUGCAGUGCUAGAGUGUGGAAGGGGCAAUCGGAAUUCUUGGUGUAGCGGUGAAAUGCGUAGAUAUCAAGAGGAACACCUGAGGUGAAGACGGGUUGCUGGGCCAACACUGACGCUGAUGCGCGAAAGCUAGGGGAGCGAACAGG
rnacentral:rRNA from 1 species